rnacentral:tRNA from 1 species
ACCAAAAUGGCUGAUAAAAGUAAUAAACUGUAAAUUUAUUCAUGAAUAAGAAAUUCUUUUGGUA